AAUCAACGCUGGCGGCGUGCCUCAGACAUGCAAGUCGAACGCGAAAGUUCCCUUCGGGGGGCGAGUAGAGUGGCGCACGGGUGAGUAACACGUAGGUAAUCUACCUUUGGGUGGGGAAUAACAGCCGGAAACGGCUGCUAAUACCGCAUAAUGCAGCGGCUCGACAUCGAGACAGUUGUUAAAGCGGGGGAUCGCAAGACCUCGCGCCUAAAGAGGAGCCUGCGGCGGAUUAGCUAGUUGGUAGGGUAAUGGCCUACCAAGGCUGUGAUCUGUAGCCGGCCUGAGAGGGCGGUCGGCCACACUGACACUGACACACGGGUCAGACUCCUACGGGAGGCGGCAGUCGGGAAUUUUGGGCAAUGGGCGCAAGCCUGACCCAGCAACGCCGCGUGAAGGAUGAAAUCCCUCGGGA
rnacentral:rRNA from 1 species